AUUGAACGCUGGCGGCAUGCCUUACACAUGCAAGUCGAACGGCAGCGCGGGAGUAAUCCUGGCGGCGAGUGGCGAACGGGUGAGUAAUAUAUCGGAACGUGCCCAGUAGUGGGGGAUAGCCCGGCGAAAGCCGGAUUAAUACCGCAUACGACCUACGGGUGAAAGGGGGGGAUCGCAAGACCUCUCGCUAUUGGAGCGGCCGAUAUCAGAUUAGGUAGUUGGUGGGGUAAAGGCCCACCAAGCCUGCGAUCUGUAGUUGGUCUGAGAGGACGACCAGCCACACUGGGACUGAGACACGGCCCAGACUCCUACGGGAGGCAGCAGUGGGGAAUUUUGGACAAUGGGGGCAACCCUGAUCCAGCAAUGCCGCGUGCAGGAAGAAGGCCCUCGGGUUGUAAACUGCUUUUGUCAGGGAAGAAAUCCCUUGGGAUAAUACCUCGGGGGGAUGACGGUACCUGAAGAAUAAGCACCGGCUAACUACGUGCCAGCCGCCGCAGUAA
rnacentral:rRNA from 1 species